rnacentral:siRNA from 1 species
CACACUCACAAUAUAGUUCGACUA